rnacentral:lncRNA from 1 species
CUUAAGUCAAGAACCAAAUGAAGCACCAGAGUACAGAUUAUGGAGGUUCCUUGUAAAGAUUAACCCAGGGAAGGAUCGAAAGUGGAGAAGACCAGAUCAAGAAAGACUACAUCAAGAUCUGCGGUCAGUUCAAAGGAUGUUUUGCAUUGGACUGUUUUUUUUGGCUUUGACCCUUGCUUGCCCCUGACCUCACUCUUGGACUGCCCUGUUGGAUUUUCAGUUUAUUUAAUUAAAAAAAAAUUUUUUGGUUCUGGGUAGAUGCUAAUAAAUAUUUAAUUGUAAUUAUUUAAU